rnacentral:lncRNA from 1 species
UGUUUUGAAUUGCUCUUUCAGCAGUAUCCUGGUGUGAACCAGCUAUCCUCCAGUAUAGGAGGAUUGAGUCUUCAGAGUUCUCCACAACCAGAAAGCCUGAGACCUGUAAACCUCACUCAGGAGAGGAAUAUUUUACCUAUGACUCCUGUUUGGGCUCCUGUACCUAACUUGAAUGCAGACCUCAAAAAAUUAAACUGUAGCCCAGAUUCAUUUCGGUGUACUUUGACAAAUAUUCCACAGACACAGGCUUUACUGAAUAAAGCUAAGCUUCCUUUAGGAUUGUUGUUACAUCCCUUCAGAGACCUAACGCAAUUACCAGUGAUAACAUCAAAUACCAUUGUGAGGUGCCGAUCCUGUCGAACAUAUAUUAACCCCUUUGUAUCCUUCAUUGAUCAACGUAGAUGGAAAUGCAAUUUGUGCUAUAGAGUAAACGAUGUUCCUGAAGAAUUUAUGUAUAACCCCCUUACCCGAUCUUAUGGAGAGCCUCAUAAACGACCAGAAGUUCAGAAUUCAACUGUGGAGUUCAUUGC